rnacentral:rRNA from 1 species
UACGGGGGGAGCAAACGUUGUUCGGAAUCACUGGGCGUAAAGGGCGUGUAGGCGGCUGAAUAAGUGGGAUGUUAAAUCCCCCGGCUCAACCGGGGACCUGCAUCUCAUACUGUUCAGCUCGAGCACAUCAGAGGAGACUGGAAUUCCCGGUGUAGCAGUGAAAUGCGUAGAUAUCGGGAGGAACACCAGUGGCGAAGGCGAGUCUCUGGGAUGAUGCUGACGCUGAGGCGCGAAAGCCAGGGGAGCAAACGGG